CCCUUAGAUGUUCUGGGCUGCACGCGCGCUACACUGACGCACGCAACAGGUGCCUGCUCCGAGAGGACUGGGUAAUCAUUUGAGUGUGCGUCGUGAUGGGGAUAGAAUAUUGUAAUUAUUACUCUUCAACGAGGAAUUCCUAGUAAGCGCCAGUCAGCAGCUUGCGCUGAUUACGUCCCUGCCCUUUGUACACACCGCCCGUCGCUCCUACCGAUGGGUGAUCCGGCGAAUGAUUCGGACUUCAGCGGCUCCCCUGGGGUGCGCCGGAGAAAGUUUUGUGAACCUUAUCACUUGGAGGAAGGAGAAGUCGUAACA
rnacentral:rRNA from 1 species